rnacentral:rRNA from 1 species
AAUUCGAUUGAGUUUGAUCAUGGCUCAGAACGAACGCUGGCGGCGUGGAUAAGACAUGCAAGUCGAGCGAGAUUUUUUCUUGUAGCAAUACAGGGAAAAGUCUAGCGGCGAACGGGUGCUUAACACGUGGGCAACCUGCCGUGAAGUGGGGGAUAGCUCGCCGAAAGGCGAAUUAAUACCGCAUGUGAUUAGAGAGGACAUCCUUUCGAAAUUAAAGUCGGGGCAACCUGACGCUUCUUGUGGGGCCCGCGGCCUAUCAGCUAGUUGGUGAGGUAACGGCUCACCAAGGCUUUGACGGGUAGCUGGUCUGAGAGGACGACCAGCCACACUGGGACUGAGACACGGCCCAGACACCUACGGGUGGCAGCAGUCGAGAAUUUUUGACAAUGGGGGAAACCCUGAUCGAGCGACGCCGCGUGGAGGAUGAAGGUCUUCGGAUUGUAAACUCCUGUCAUUGGGGAACAAGGUGCAUACGUUAACUGCGUAUGUAUUGAUAG